UACGUAGGAUGCAAGCGUUGUCCGGAAUUACUGGGCGUAAAGAGCGCGCAGGCGGCACUCUAAGUUGGGCGUGAAAUCUCUCGGCUUAACCGGGAGGGGUCGUCCAAAACUGGAGAGCUAACGAGGGUAGGAGAGGAAAGUGGAAUUCCCGGUGUAGUGGUGAAAUGCGUAGAUAUCGGGAGGAACACCUGUGGCGAAGGCGACUUUCUGGCCUACUCCUGACGCUGAGGCGCGAAGGCUAGGGGAGCGAACGGG
rnacentral:rRNA from 1 species